GACGAACGCUGGCGGCGUGCUUAACACAUGCAAGUCGAGCGGAGCGGCGAACGGGUGAGUAACGCGUUAGUAACUGCCCCCCUCUCGGGGAUAGCAGUUGGAAACGGCUGCUAAUACCGGAUAGUUGGGGAUGAGUCGCGUCCUAUCAGCUUGUUGGUGGGGUAGUGGCCUACCUAGGCGACGACGGGUAGCCGGCCUGAGAGGGCGACCGGCCACAUGGGGCUGGGAUACGGCCCAAACUCGUACGGGAGGCAGGAGUGGGGGAUAUUGCACAAUGGGCGAAAGCCGGAUGCAGCGGCGCCGCGUGGGGGAUGAAGGCUUUCGGGUUGUAAACCUCUUUCGCUAACGAACGGGUAGGUGGAGAAGAAGCGCCGGCUAACUACGUGCCAGCAGCCGCGGUAAUAC
rnacentral:rRNA from 1 species